UGGAAGUUUCUGGGGGAGAACAGAUGGGGGAAUGACUGAGUGAGGACAGGGCAGCAGGUGUGGGGAAGGAGGGGAAAUGGAAUACUGGGGAGAAAGAUUUAACGAUCACCUACACCUGGGGCUUUGUGCCUCCUCGGCAGCAGAGCGCUGUUGGAACACUGCUAGUAAACAACCUGUGUUGAAAAGCUUCCACUUGUCUUUGCAAUUCUGAGCCAGUUUCCCAUUCUAGCUCAGGAUCUGGACUCUGGGGUGGCUGUGCUCCUCAUGCUGAAGGAGGUGACUAACAAGUGACCUGGUUCCUCUGAGAGACUGUGGGAUAAGGAAUCACCUGCUUCCACGGGUAGAUGAUGUGUUCAUCACUUGCAGCCACUGCCUCCGUCACCUGCAGGAAAAUGACAGGAGGACCACAGGAAGGCAGCAGUGAAGUUCCCAGUCACGAGCCAGUGGUGCAUUUCUCAGCAUUUUUAAUCUCCUUAUUAUGGAUCCAUUAAAGGUUGUGUGGAUAUUGAAAUAUGAGUCUGGUUUUGACAUGUGGCAGAGAGGUAGCAGGAAUCCUGAGAGACGGCUGUAACGAGGAGCAGUGCCAGCUGUGCUGUGCUCCCAGUGGUGUGAGUUUCCUGCAGGCUCUUUCAUCAGCUGAGCUCCUUUCAGGAGUCGCUGGGUUAGAACUGUGCUCAAUUCAAGGAACAGCGUGGCCUAGGAACUGCAUGGAUGAGGCCAUCCUGCUUCAGGAGGAGAAGAGGUUUUUGGCUGUGUGGAUGGGAACUGUUCCAUGCUGCCUGCUUUCCUCACCAGAGAACAGGACUGUGAGACCAAGAGAAAGAGUCACCAAAGGGCAUUGUCUGCUGUGGGCAGAAAGGAAGCUUCUCUCUGAUAGCAAUGGUAUCUGCUACUCUCUGUAGCAAACCAGGAGAUGUGCAUGCUAAGCUGUAUCUCUGGCUCAUUGCAGCACCUCUGCUAAGGAGGGAUGGUUGUCACCAGACAGCGCUGUCCUUAGGGGGUGCAUUCAGCUGAACUUGCUUUUUCCUUGAUGUUAUCAUUGUCAUCUGCUGGGAGAGGGAGCCUGUCUCUUUUGUCACUGACAGCAUGCUAAGAAAUCCCUGUUCCUACAGCUUCUCAUGCUGGAACUCAGGCAGCUUCCUGCUACCCAGCAGCAGCAAGGAACCGAUGUCCUGGAAACAUCCAGCACAGUCUUGGCAGAUGGGCUGGUGCGGAUCAGGGCAUGCACAAGGUGCAGGUCAGCCUGACUGGGGAUUCUGUGGAUAACCCAGUAGUGCACCUCCUCCUUUUGUGCACCAGUCUCUGGCCAUCACACCAAACUCCUGGCCAGUAUCUUCCCACAGAUACUCAGCUUUGCUGAGUGCCGUGUUCUGGCACCACAUACUGGGCAACCUUGAUGUAUGCUUAACUGUUACUUCCAAACACAGACAAGGGCAGUCAUUAGCGCAUAGCUGUUAUCUCAUCCAUCCCAGCAGUACCCACUCCAGCUUCCUCCUUUUCUGCUGGCACCUCCUAGGUCCAGUCUCAACAGGAGGAUGGCCUGACUGCCUCAUUCCUUUCCACUGUGCCCAGCUGCCAGUACCAGAAGCCACCUGUUUUCUCCCAGCAUCACUUUCAGGCUUGGGAUUUCAGCAGUGAGAAGGGAGUGUUUCCCUUCCCUAUAGCAAGGCUGCUGCCACGAGGAGCAGCCAUGUGCCUGGGCUGAUGCUUGACUGCAGAGUGCAGGGAUCUGUAAUCAGAGCCAAUUGCUUCCAUCACCUCAUCCUUGCUGUACUUACCUGGACGCGGUCCCUAGCUGUUCCUGCCAGAACUGACAACGCUUCCAUUGCGGCAUCAUUCCUUGCUAUGAGAGCUCUAUGUUUGUGACAGUUGUCCACGCUACGCUUUUUGUGAUAACCUUGGUUAAUGUGUUGCGAGGAUCAUACAAUGCUGUCACAAAUCUUGGCAUCCUCCAGACUUGUUUCCAGUGAUAUUCCAAUUUCUAAAGCAGGUGUGGGGUCAAAUCAGCCUUGCUCUAUAAUCAUUGGCUGGGGGUUGUUUUAUUUCCCCGAACACAGAGUACCCGGUUCCUUCAUGCAUCAUUUAUAUUCCCUCCACCCUGGGAAAUCUCUGGACAUUUCUCUAUUCCAGCCACGUAUUUAGAAAUGUUCAUUUUCUUUCACGUUCUCUUUAUAAAAACAGAAACUCUCUAUCAUCGCCAGUGACCCCGAGGAUAGGUGGUUUUGUAGCUUUCCCACCAUCUCAGCAAAUGCUUUGUCUGCAGAUUUAACAGACACCAUUAGGCUAUGCAGCAGAUUACAAAUUGCAGCCCCUGUUAUGAUCAGCAAGCUGACAUUUUCUUCCAGAUGUUCACUCGUCCAGCUUCGGGGGGGCAGUUUUCCCAAGCCAGCAGGAUCCCCUCUUUCCCCAAGCCACAUGGAUCUGCUUUAUCCUUUCUCUCUUUCCCCUGUGAGUGGGUCACUCCUGUGCAGGAGCUCUCUUGCUCCCCUCACUCACCAGCAGCUCUGUUGCUGCUGCUCACCUCUUCCUGCCUCUUUUAUGCCUGGCUGGAGGAAUGAGGAUCAGUGAGCAGGCUUGGUAAAUGCAUUGAACAUGUAAUGAAACACCUGGUAUGAAAGCCUAAUAUUAUUAUUGCACAGCC
ensembl:lncRNA